AGUCGAACGGAAAGGCCCUGCUUGCAGGGUACUCGAGUGGCGAACGGGUGAGUAACACGUGGGUGAUCUGCCCUGCACUUCGGGAUAAGCUUGGGAAACUGGGUCUAAUACCGGAUAGGAACCAUCUUUAGUGUGGUGGUUGGAAAGUUUUUUCGGUGUAGGAUGAGCUCGCGGCCUAUCAGCUUGUUGGUGGGGUAAUGGCCUACCAAGGCGGCGACGGGUAGCCGGCCUGAGAGGGUGUACGGCCACAUUGGGACUGAGAUACGGCCCAGACUCCUACGGGAGGCAGCAGUGGGGAAUAUUGCACAAUGGGCGCAAGCCUGAUGCAGCGACGCCGCGUGGGGGAUGAAGGCCUUCGGGUUGUAAACUCCUUUCGCUAGGGACGAAGCUUUUUGUGACGGUACCUAGAUAAGAAGCACCGGCUAACUACGUGCCAGCAGCCGCGGUAAUACGUAGGGUGCGAGCGUUGUCCGGAAUUACCUGGGCGUAAAGGGCUCGUAGGUGGUUUGUCGCGUCGUCUGUGAAAUUCUGGGGCUUAACUCCGGGCGUGCAGGCGAUACGGGCAUAACUUGAGUGCUGUAGGGGUAACUGGAAUUCCUGGUGUAGCGGUGAAAUGCGCAGAUAUCAGGAGGAACACCGAUGGCGAAGGCAGGUUACUGGGCAG
rnacentral:rRNA from 1 species